GGCGCUGGGGCGCCGGGCAAACUGUUUCAACGUGAGCCCUCCCCUUGGAGCCCAGAGGCCCAGAGGCUGGGGGAGAGGAGCCCGUCUGGGAGGGCCCCGCACGACGCAAGGCGAGUUGGCGUCGGCCUCAAGUGGACACGCUGCUGUUGUGCCCCCGCUCUUGCGCGCCCCGCAGACAUGCACCGGCGGCGGCCGGGCGCGCCCCGGGGCCUCGCCCCCGCGCGGGGACUCUGAGUGCCGCCGCCCCCGUGAGAGCUCCUGGCCGCUGGGGUUCGCAGCACUGCUGCCGCCCACAUCCAGCCAUGCGGCGCUGGGCCUGGGCCGCAGUCCUGGCCCUCCUCUGGCCACAGCUCGCCUUGCUCUGGGGAGUCGGGGCAUGGCGGGAGCCCAAGAGGCUGCGGCAGCCUGGCCAGCGCACAGAGGCCCCCAACGCCACAGCUUCUGACAGUGAAGGUCUGCCUGGCUCUCCCAAGUCGCUGGAGCCCUCAGGGCCUGAGUUCUCGGAUGCUCACAAGACGUGGUUGAACUUUGUCCGACGGCCAGAAGAUGGUUCUUCCAAGAAACGCUGUCGCUGUCAAUGCCAAGACAAGAAGUUGCGAGGCCUCUUGGGUCCCCCGGGGCCCCCUGGACCUCCAGGACCCCCAGGGCCCCCCGGUGUGGAAGUCGCCCCAGCAGCCCUGCUUCAGGAGUUCAAGGACAUGCUGAAGGACCAUAGUGAGCUGCAGGGCAGGGCCCGGCUGCGGGCCCGGGACACUGUGCGUGUCCUCAUCUGCAUCGAGUCCCUGUGUCACCGCCACACGUCCCUGGAGGCCAUCUCAGGCCUGGAGAGCAACAGCAGGGUCUUCACGGCACAGUUGCAAGGGCUGCUGCAGCUGCAGGCUGGGCAGUAUGCCUCCGUGUUUGUGGACAACGGCUCCGGGGUGGUCCUCACCAUCCAGAGUGGCUCCAGCUUCUCUGGGCUGCUUCUGGGUACCUGAGGGUGCAGAGGGAGCACCCUGUCAGGACCUGUGAUUGCCCCUCUGAGGAAGGAGGCGAGAAGACCCCCAGUGGAUUCCUGUGGUCACAGCAAUAAAAGCCCCAGUACUCUGUUGCCCCGG
rnacentral:lncRNA from 1 species